UACAGAGGGUGCGAGCGUUAAUCGGAAUUACUGGGCGUAAAGGGUGCGUAGGUGGUUGAAUAAGUUAGGUGUGAAAUUCCCGGGCUUAACCUGGGGACUGCGCCUGAUACUGUUUAACUAGAGUACUGUAGAGGAAGGUGGAAUUUCCGGUGUAGCGGUGAAAUGCGUAGAUAUCGGAAGGAACAUCGGUGGCGAAGGCGACUUUCGUGGACAGCUACUGACACUGAGGCACGAAAGCAUGGGGAGCAAACAGG
rnacentral:rRNA from 1 species